UACGUAGGGGGCAAGCGUUGUCCGGAAUCAUUGGGCGUAAAGCGCACGUAGGCGGCCCGGUAAGUCCGUUGUGAAAGUCAGAGGCUCAACCUCUGGAGGCCAAUGGAUACUGCCGGGCUAGAGUCCGGAAGAGGCGAGUGGAAUUCCUGGUGUAGCGGUGGAAUGCGCAGACAUCAGGAGGAACACCAAUGGCGAAGGCAGCUCGCUGGGACGGUACUGACGCUGAGGUGCGAAAGCGUGGGGAGCGAACAGG
rnacentral:rRNA from 1 species